rnacentral:tRNA from 1 species
GCGCGUGUGGCGGAAUGGCAGACGCACCAGACUUAGGAUCUGGCGUUUUACGACGUGGGGGUUCAAGUCCCUUCACGCAUU